rnacentral:lncRNA from 1 species
UGGCGCUCUGCGGCUGGGGAGUAAAUUUCUCCCUGUCAUCAGGUCGCGGGGAGCGGAGGAGGAGGAGGAGUUUGUUAAUGUUCAGUUUGUUCAGCGGGAUCGAUGUUUGCUGGCAUCGCCUCGCCCUGUCUUGUGUGUACGGGAAUCUGACAGCAGCCACAAACCUACAGUGAGUGAUCUCUCUCCCCCAGCGCGAAUCCGCCAUAGAGACCGGCGAGGAGGAGGAGGAGGAGGANNNNNNNNNNNNNNNNNNNNNNNNNNNNNNNNNNAGAUGAAGAAGGAGGAGGAGGAGGAGGAGGAGGAGGAGGAGGAGGGAAAGAGGAGAAGGAAGAAGAAGGAAAAGAAGAAGAAGAAGCCACUACCUCCCCAGGAUUGCCUGGUUCUCCCCCUUCUCUUUACGCGCGCGUGUGCGUGUGGCGCGUGUGCGCCCCUCGUCCCUUCCAUCCGAACGCGGUCUUGGAUGUUUAAUAAAGAAAUCAAGUGUCUCAACAGUCACCCCCCAAAAAAAAAAAAAAAAACCAAAAAAACCAAAACCCUCCAAAAAAGCAAAAAAAAAAAAAAAAAAAAAAAUCAAAAAGCGAGAGAGCGAGGGGGAGCGAGCUCCCAAAACAAACAAACAAACAAACAACCAGGCAGAGCCAACCUCUACUUGCGAGCAGCCGGCGCGAGCCGCCCGCGUCCGCCGCCCGGAGAGGGGGGUCUCCGCGGGCCCGUGGUGGAGGAGUUGCAGGGGGGAUCGCCGGGGGGACUGAGGCCGAGUGACGCCCCGGGAGCCGCCGGGCCGGAGGCGGAGGAGCCCCGGAGAGGCGAGAGAGCAGCGGGCCCCCGCGCGCGGCUCGGGGCUGGGCCGCCAGAAGUGGGACUGGAGCGAAGUAGAGCGAUGCCAAGGAGGAAACAGCAGGCACCCAAGCGGGCGGCAGGGAACACUGAUGUGAGCCAACUGUGCAUAUCUGCUGAUGAACCUUCCCAGGAAGUCAUGCUCUGGAACCCUCCACGGGCCUUGUGA